ensembl:lncRNA
GAGGGGGGGGUGGAGAUGGAGGGGUGGGGGGUGGAGAUGGAGGGGGGUGGGGGUGGAGAUGGAGGGGUGGAGAUGGAGGGGAGGGGGGGCAUGGAAGGAGAGAAGAGCGGGUGACAUUACACGAGUGUGAUGUCACUGUCAUGUUGAGUGAGGAGCGGGGCUCUGCAGGGGAGGGGUGACGGCUCAGCGAGCGAGGGAAAAGGAAGGAGUAAAGAUGGAGAUAGAUGGAGGGAUGGAUGGAUGGAGGGCGAUGCACAACAGGCCGAUUCAUUAUCAGCCUGUCACGGGCGAGACAGGGGGCAAUGUGCCCUCGUACCGAUAUGUCAAGUCGGAGGCUAAUGUUGCCGCAUUGCUAAUCCCUCCCGAGAUGGAGGGUGGCGAGGGGCUGUGCUAACUAGUAAGAUAUCACCAGGUUUUCCUAUAAUAUCGUACUAGGGUGUAUCCAGAACAUGCGGUUAGAUCAUCAAGACAUGGCUGUAAUUACAGAGGCCUUCCUCUGCCGUAGUGCCGGCGGCCCACAGGUCGACGACACCACAGGGAACACCGUCGACUAUAAUGAGAGCAAAGCUACUGAAUGUGACGCGCAGGGCCCAUCAAAUCCACCCUCUCGGUCCUUGGCCUGUGAUAACGUUUUAUGCAUCUGGGUGUCUCAAUACCCCCCCAAUGAUUACGUAGCCAUUGGAGACGGUUCCUACUGGAGGUGGCCUGGCCGUGACGUGAGCUCCGUCUGCCAACAUUGGGUUUGAGGUGUCUGCUCAACAGAGGGGCUAGCAGUGUGCACUAACCCUUGGGCUAGAGGUGUCGGCUAACAGAGGGGCUAGCGUGGGGCUAGCAGUGUGUCCACUAGCAGUGGGGCUAGCGGUGUGGCUAGUGGAGUGUCCACUAUCUGUGGGGAUAGCAGUCUGUCCACUAACAGUUGGGUUAGCGGUGGGGCUAGCAGUGUGUCCACUAGCAGUGGGGCUAGCGGUGGGGCUAGCGGUGUGUCCACUAUCAGUGGGCCUAGCGGUGUGUCCACUAAAGGUGGGGCUAGCGGUGUGUCCAUGGCAGUGGGGCUAGCGGUGGGGCUAGCGGAGUGUCCACUAGCAGUGGGGCUAGCGGUGUGUCCACUAGCAGUGGGGCUAGCGGUGUGUCCACAAUCAGUGGGGCUAGCGGUGUGUCCACUAGCAGUGGGCCUAGCGCUGUGUCCAAGGCAGUGAGCUAGUGCCGUCUGCUCAGGGCUGAACAGCUGAAUCAACCCGAGAAGCUGCUGCCCCGCAUACCUGAGAGGACAUAAGUUUCCACCAUAUAUCCGUCAGGUGCCGCCGCCCCGCC